UACGUAGGGUGCGAGCGUUAAUCGGAAUUACUGGGCGUAAAGGGUGCGCAGGCGGUUAUAUAAGACAGAUGUGAAAUCCCCGGGCUCAACCUGGGAACUGCGUUUGUGACUGUAUGACUAGAGUACGGUAGAGAGGGGUGGAAUUCCUGGUGUAGCAGUGAAAUGCGUAGAUAUCAGGAGGAACAUCGAUGGCGAAGGCAGCCCCUUGGACC
rnacentral:rRNA from 1 species